UCCGAGUUGACCCCGGCAGUCUCCCACGAGUGCCCGGCUUGAACCGCUGGCAACAUGGGACAAGGGUUGCGCUCGUUGCGGGACUUAACCCAACAUCUCACAACACGAGCUGACGACAGCCAUGCAGCACCUGUGCACGGACUCCGAAGAGGGGCCGAUGUUUCCACCGGCUUUCCCGUGCAUGUCAAGCCCAGGUAAGGUUCUUCGCGUUGCUUCGAAUUAAACCACAUGCUCCACCGCUUGUGCGGGCCCCCGUCAAUUCCUUUGAGUUUCAGCCUUGCGGCCGUACUCCCCAGGCGGGGCACUUACUGCGUUAGCGACGGCACUCAGAGGGUCGCUCCCCCAAGCACCUAGUGCCCAUCGUUUACGGCGUGGACUAC
rnacentral:misc_RNA from 1 species